rnacentral:rRNA from 1 species
CAGCAGCCGCGGUAAUACGGAGUGUGCAAGCGUUAAUCGGAAUUACUGGACGUAAAGCGCACGCAGGCGGUUUGUUAAGUCAGAUGUGAAAUCCCCGAGCUUAGCUUGGGAACUGCAUUUGAAACUGGCAAGCUAGAGUCUUGUAGAGGGGGGUAGAAUUCCAGGUGUAGCGGUGAAAUGCGUAGAGAUCUGGAGGAAUACCGGUGGCGAAGGCGGCCCCCUGGACAAAGACUGACGCUCAGGUGCGAAAGCGUGGGGAGCAAACAGGAUUAGAUACCCCAGUAGUCCCUGUCUCUUAUAA